AAGCCUUAGGAGGAGAAACUACGGCCCCAGUCUGAUUACUAUGAGUGACUGGUUGUUCUGAAGGCUU